AAAACGGAUCAUUGACUUGACUGAUCGUGACUGUUAUGAAACCAGUUUUCUUUUACAGUUCGGCGAGUAAACAUUGAAGAUAUUUCUUUCGAAACAUCUAAGAUGUUUAUAAAAUAUCAAUAAUUCCGCAAAUUAAAUUAAUUAAUUAAAUUAAGAUAAUUAAAUUAAUUUAAAGAGGCAUUAAAUAUAAUAUAAUAUAACUUCCUUUCAGCCUUCGUCGAUUAUUUAAUGUUAACAAGAAGAAACCAUGCGAGUUAUCAUGUCAGUUUCCUUUCUUACUCCGAGGAUUAAACGUCAAAAUACACUCUUUACAAAUUCCUACAUUUAAUCAUCUUAUAGAUAAAAACUUCAUUGCAAUCACGUGCAUAGCGAUGAAGUAAUUGAGUGUUUGUUUCGUUAAAAUAAAAAUAUCGCGAAAUAAAAGCAUUGUUUGUUCGUUCGCGUUUUGCGAUUUAUAUAACAAAUAUUUUUGCAUCGAUUACGUACAGUGCAGUUGUUAUAUUCAAAAAGCAAAGUCCUAUUGGAAACUUCGUUUUAUUUGUUCGAAAAUUUGAUUAGAUUAUCUCGCGAACGCGGAUUCUAGAGUAGAGGCACCAUUAGCCAGCCCGUGGGUCUCCACAUGCAGCAACUUCCACAUAGUGAGACCUGGGUCGCCAAAAGGUAUCGGAGUUAAUCUUGCAAACAGUACAACUUUAAAAGCUUGUGGACCUGAAAUUACUCUAAGUAUUGCUCUUGCAGUAUCACUUUGUAAUAAUGCUCCGAUUGGCAGUUUAGAAGAGAAAGCACCC